rnacentral:ncRNA from 3 species
UGUGGGAGCGAGCCUGCUCGCGAAAGCGGUGGUUCAUUCAGCAUCGAUGGCGACUGAUACGCCGCCUUCGCGAGCAGGCUCGCUCCCACA